rnacentral:rRNA from 1 species
CGUCACAUCCUGGGGCUGGAGAAGGUCCCAAGGGUUCGGCUGUUCGCCGAUUAAAGUGGCACGCGAGCUGGGUUCAGAACGUCGCGAGACAGUUCGGUCCCUAUCUGUUGUGGGCGCAUGAAGUUUGAGGGGCUCUGACUCUAGUACGAGAGGACCGAGUUGGACAGACCUCUAGUGUACCGGUUGUAACGCCAGUGGCACCGCCGGGUAGCUAUGUCUGGAAGGGAUAAGCGCUGAAAGCAUCUAAGUGCGAAGCCCGCCCCAAGAUGAGACUUCGAUACAGGGUGGUCGCAGACUACGACCUCGAUAGGCUGCAGGUGUAAAGCCAGCGAUGGCAAAGCCGAGCAGUACUAAUUACCCGAAGGCUUUCCGUA